rnacentral:rRNA from 1 species
GAUGAACGCUGGCGGCGUGCCUAAUACAUGCAAGUCGAGCGAACAGACGAGGAGCUUGCUCCUCUGACGUUAGCGGCGGACGGGUGAGUAACACGUGGAUAACCUACCUAUAAGACUGGGAUAACUUCGGGAAACCGGAGCUAAUACCGGAUAAUAUAUUGAACCGCAUGGUUCAAUAGUGAAAGACGGUUUUGCUGUCACUUAUAGAUGGAUCCGCGCCGCAUUAGCUAGUUGGUAAGGUAACGGCUUACGAAGGCGACGAUGCGUAGCCGACCUGAGAGGGUGAUCGGCCACACUGGAAGUGAGACACGGUCCAGACUCCUACGGGAGGCAGCAGUAGGGAAUCUUCCGCAAUGGGCGAAAGCCUGACGGAGCAACGCCGCGUGAGUGAUGAAGGUCUUCGGAUCGUAAAACUCUGUUAUUAGGGAAGAACAAAUGUGUAAGUAACUAUGCACGUCUUGACGGUACCUAAUAAGAAAGCCACGGCUAACUACGUG